GACGUAGGGUCCAAGCGUUGUCCGGAUUUACUGGGCGUAAAGAGCGCGUAGGCGGCUUGUUAAGUGUGAAGUGAAAUCUCCAGGGCUCAACCCGGAAACUGCUUUACAUACUGGCAAGCUGGAGUGAUGCAGAGGUUUGUGGAAUUCCUGGUGUAACGGUGAAAUGUGUUGAUAUCAGGAGGAACACCCAUGGCGAAGGCAGCAACUCGGGCAUCAACUGACGCUGAGGCGCGAAAGCGUGGGUAGCAAACGA
rnacentral:rRNA from 1 species